AACCAGCAGGAGAGCAUUGAUGUGUGAACUGAAUUCAGUGACACUGCAGUGUGUAACAUUGACGUUAUUGACUAUUUUAGUAGCAACGCUUUGCAGGUUUUGCACUUUGCAGUUGCUCCCUUCGGACUUGUCUCUCAGCUGCCUUUGCAUAGAGAGCAAUGUAUUUUGUUCAGUGCAGGGGAAGGCUCGUUUUGAGGAAAAUUAGCUUGUUGUCUAUGUUACUGCGAUUGAAAAAACGUUUAGCUCACAAGUUAUUAAUCAUGGGUGCGUUUCCCAAAAGCAACUAUGGUCGCAAGUUCCAUCAUUACCAACAGAGCUCAAUGGAACUUGCGACCAUAAUUAGCUAACGAUGCUUUUGGGAAACAAAAACCCCAAGGAAAUUUGAGUCUGUGAAUAUGUUUCCAGUUUUACUGAACUUGUUUACAGGUGUUGUUUUAAACCUGUCGUGGUAAAGCGCUUCUUUCCACUAGUUUAAAAGAAGACAUGUUAUGAAAGCAAAAUAGACCAAAAUCACUGCGUUUUAUUGUUCAUGUUAGACAGCACAGUAGAUGAAUGUCCAUGAGUUGAUCAGAUGACAUUGUCAAGCGGUGUGUCAUGACGUGUGUGCAGACGCUCAGAAUGAGGAAAUUAAAUGUUGGAUUACUGUGAUGUGUGUGUGUGUGUGUGUGUGUGUGUGUGUGUGUGUGUGUGUGUGUGUGUGUGGGAGAUUACAGGCCGUGAGAGAGAUCAGGAGUCUCCCGUCAGAGAUCAGCAGACUCGAGUGUGUUCGGGUCUCCUCAGAAUGCGCCGUUGUUCAGCUCUCUAGCGGGUUCGAGCACAGGGGCGCCGUCGUUCGGGAGUCUGGCGCAGCAGCAGCAGCCACCGUCAGGAUUCGGCACACAGAGCGGCGCUUUCCCUGGCUUCGCCUCGUCUGGAGGGUUUGGAGGUUUUGGGAACACCAACAUAAACACCAACCAACCCUCGUCUCAGACGUUCAGCAGUUGGAGGAGUUGAUCUGUGGACACUGACAUCAUCUGAUCUGAUAUGCUGUGAAUUUAUAGUAUGCACGCAGGAUUGAAAAUGCCAUGAGGUUCAUGUUCUUUACAUGUGCUGAUGUCCUCCUGUUUUAUGUUUAAUGUGUUUCUUCUGGUUAACUGCACAAUAAGGAAUAAACUCAAGCGCUGUUGACCGUAUGUUUCA
ensembl:lncRNA